rnacentral:rRNA from 1 species
CCUACGGGUGGCAGCAGUGGGGAAUAUUGCACAAUGGGCGCAAGCCUGAUGCAGCGACGCCGCGUGAGCGAUGACGGCCUUCGGGUCGUAAAGCUCUGUCCUAAGGGAAGAAUAAUGACGGUACCUUAGGAGGAAGCCCCGGCUAACUACGUGCCAGCAGCCGCGGUAAUACGUAGGGGGUGAGCGUUAUCCGGAAUCACUGGGCGCAAAGGGGUCGUAGGCGGCCCUGAAAGUCAGGAAUUAAAUGCCUCGGCUCAACCGAGGUCAGCUCUUGAAACUGUAGGGCUGGAGUGCAGGAGAGGAGAGCGGAAUUCCUAGUGUAGCGGUGAACUGCGUAGACAUUAGGAGGAAAACCAGUGGCGAAGGCGGCUCUAGGGACUGCAACUGACGCUGAGGCACGAAAGCGUGGAGAGCGAACAGGAUUAGAUACCGCUGUAGUC